GUGUCAGCCGCCGCGGUAAUACGGAGGUGGCAAGCGUUGUUCGGAAUUACUGGGCGUAAAGGGCGCGUAGGCGGCCUGACAAGUCAGAUGUGAAAGCCCCGGGCUUAACUCGGGAAUUGCAUCUGAAACUGUUUGGCUUGAGUUCUGGAGGGGAUGGUGGAAUUCCCAGUGUAGCGGUGAAAUGCGUAGAUAUUGGGAGGAACACCUGCGGCGAAGGCGGCCAUCUGGACAGUGACUGACGCUGAGGCGCGAAAGCUAGGGGAGCGAACGGGAUUAGAUACCCCGGUAGUCC
rnacentral:rRNA from 1 species